CCCAAAGAGAGAGAAGAGUGUGUCACUGUGUCGUCUCUAAAACUACAAAUAAAAAUUGUCAAAGAAGAGAGAGUUUGGUUUUUUGGUGGGAGCUAUAGAGGUCCACAAAAGCUUUUCACGCGUGCUAAAGGAGCAACCAAACCAACGGUCACGAUCAAGGCCGCAUUAAACGGAAACCAUUUGUGAUUGUUUCAUCCAACGGCUCACACUUUCCCUUGUUUGACUCUCUUCUGUCCAUCCC
rnacentral:lncRNA from 1 species